GACGAACGCUGGCGGCGUGCUUAACACAUGCAAGUCGAACGGAAAGGCCCUGCUUUUGUGGGGUGCUCGAGUGGCGAACGGGUGAGUAACACGUGAGUAACCUGCCCUUGACUUUGGGAUAACUUCAGGAAACUGGGGCUAAUACCGGAUAGGAGCUCCUGCUGCAUGGUGGGGGUUGGAAAGUUUCGGCGGUUGGGGAUGGACUCGCGGCUUAUCAGCUUGUUGGUGGGGUAGUGGCUUACCAAGGCUUUGACGGGUAGCCGGCCUGAGAGGGUGACCGGGCCCAUUGGGACUAAGGGAGGGACCAGAGUCCUACGGGAGGCAGCAGUGGGGAAUAUUGUACAAUGGGCGGAAGCCUGAUGAAGCAACGCCGCGUGUGGGAUGCCGGCCUUCGGGUUGUAAACCGCUUUCGCCUGUGACGAAGCGUGAGUGACGGUAAUGGGUAAAGAAGCACCGGCUAACUACGUG
rnacentral:rRNA from 1 species